rnacentral:rRNA from 1 species
GCGCACCAGUCGCGAAUACUCCGCAAUGCUCGAAAGAGUGACGGGGAUUCCAAGUGCCUACGCUUAGCGUAGGCUGUUCAGAUGCCUAAAAGCAUCUGGAGUAAGGGCUGGGUAAGACGGGUGCCAUCUGCAGUGGUAAUGAAAAACUUGCUACUGCAAGGCAUAAGCCGCCGCGGUAAUACCCGCAGCCCGAGUGGUAGUCGCUUUUAUGGGCCUAAAGCGUCCGUAGCCGGUCUGGUAAAUGACC